UUUACUAUCCUCGACUUAUUAUUUCAUCCUCUCAAAUAAUCAAAAAAUAAAAAAUAUAUUAAAAACUUAACAAGUUAAGGAUAGUAAACUUGAACCCUUGAUUAAUCGGAUUCGAUGACCAAGAUUAAAGCAAACGGACACACAUUGUUAAUCACCCACUUGGCAUUGUGUGUUUCUUUGUUUUAAUCUUAACCACUGAAUUUAAUUAAUCAAUGGCUCUUAUUUACUAUCCUCAACUUAUUCUCUCAUCCAAUCAAAUAAUCAGAAAAUAAAAAAUAAAAAAAAUAAGAAAAAGUGUAUCAUAAUAAACUUGAUCCCUUGAUUAAUCGGAUUCAAUUGCUAAGAUUGAAACAAAUGAGACACACACUGUCAAUUACCUGCUUGACAAUGUGUGUUUCUUUAUUUUAACUGUGACCAUUGAGUUUAACUAAUCAAGGGCUCUUGUUUACUAUCCUCGAUUUAUUCUCUCAUCCUCUCAAAUAAUCAAAAAAUUAAAAUUAAAAUUAAAAAUUAAAAAGUUAAGGAUAGUAAACUUGAGCCCUUGAUUAAUCGGAUUCGAUGGCCAAGAUUAAAACAAAGAGACACGCAUUGCCAAUCACCCGCUUGGCAAUGUAUGUUUCUUUGUUUUAAUCCUGACCAUUGAAUUUAAUUAAUCUAUGGCUCUUGUUUACUAUCCCCAACUUAUUCUCUCAUCCAAUCAAGUAAUCAUCAAAUAAAAAAAUUAAAAUAAGAAAAAGUAUAGGAUAG
rnacentral:lncRNA from 1 species